GUACUCGCUUCAGUAGUAUAUGCACUAAAAUAGAUUCAAUACCGAGAAGAUUACCAUGGUCCCUGCACAAGGAUAACCAGCAAAAUCUUGAAGCGUAACAUAAGCAU